GUGCUUAUUUCAGCACACAUACUAAAAUUGGAACAGUGCAGGGAAGGUUAGCAUGGUCCCUGUGUAGGAUGACAUUCAUGUUUGUAAAGUGUGUGAUAUUUUA
ensembl:snRNA U6 U6 spliceosomal RNA